rnacentral:snoRNA from 1 species
AUUCUGUAGUCUUGGAGGCGCACUGGGUUGGUGGUACCCGAGGGCACACCAGACUUGCAGAGAAAGCAUACGCAGAGGAAGCUGAGGCAUGACUGCUCAAGAUCCAGCCGUUCUAUGUGCAAUUUUCCUCUGAUAGUUCCUGGGUCCUGUUGCCACGGCGAUAAUGGCGGCGCCAUGUCAUUAUCUAUCGACCAACAGCAAGAGAAGCCCUGCAGUCGAGAUAUUGUUUAACAGACGGAGUGGUUUCUGUUGGACACUGAGUACUGCUACAGUC